GGGGGGAGCUUGAGUAAUGUCCCUUUUCAGACGCUGAGUUGUAUAUGGAGAUCGCCAAGGAUUACCAGCGGGAGCCAGGGCGCGCUUUGCAGGGGAAACUCAGGCAGCCAAAGAAGCCAGGAAUCGUGGUUUUUUUCCCCCAGCAGCUCGGAUCCCCUCCGCUUUCCUGGGCUUGCUUUCGUGCCGGAGGGGGCCACCCGUGAGAGACCCCCACCCACCACCCCAAAGAGCCAAGGGACGGCCAGGAACGGAGGAAAAAAAAAACCGACCCCGGCCGGGCGUCUAGGGCGCAUUUCAGUUGCAUUUUUACGCGCCGAGGCGAAAAUCAGAAAGAGGCAUUUUUUUCGGGGGGGGAGGGAGGGAAAGGGGAGGAAGAAGAGGAGGGGGUUUCCUUUUGCUGAUGGUGAGGGAGGCAACGGAUCUGAGCAAGCCAGAGACCCCCCCCUCAAAAAAUGCCCAAGAGGAUCGGGCAAGGAAGCCAGUAAGGGCAUCUUCGGAGCGAAGGCUCCUUGGCUGGAAGAGGCUUCGCACCCCCCCAGGAUGAUGGGUCCCCGAUCCCCGCUGGCGCGCUCCGGACUCCGCCACCUUUAAGGCUGGGGCCGGCCCGAGGAAGAGGAGGAGGAGGAGGAGGAGGGCGGCGGCGGGGCCGGCGGUCGGCCAGCGGAGGAUGGAUGGAAGAGACCUGGGGGCUCCCCGCGCCGUCCGGGUCCCCCCGCCGCUGCUCUCCGGGCUGGCUAUGGAGAGCCACGUCGCCGCCGCCGCCGCCGGAGCUGCGCGCUUGGCUCCUCUGGCGACGCCGCUGCCGCCCGGCAAAUACCUCGCCGCUCCGGGCCUCAACCUCCAUUCCCAUCCGGGUUUCUCCCACCUGUCAAGUGGUCUCUACCCCUCGUACAUUCCUUUGAGUCACCUGGAACCCCACAGCAGUGGGAAUCCCUUACUUGCUCAAUUGAGUCAGCACAGCCUCUUCGAGACCCCA